rnacentral:rRNA from 1 species
GAGGAAACUUGUGCUAAUACCGGAUAAGUCUUUACGGAGAAAGCUUUAUGCACCAUUGGAUGAGCCUGCACUUGAUUAGUUUGUUGGUGGGGUAAUGGCCUACCAAGACUUUGAUCAAUAGCUGAUUUGAGAGGAUGAUCAGCCACAUUGGGACUGAGACACGGCCCAAACUCCUACGGGAGGCAGCAGUGGGGAAUCUUGCACAAUGGAGGAAACUCUGAUGCAGCGAUGCCGCGUGAGUGAAGAAGGCCCUUGGGUUGUAAAGCUCUUUCGUCGGGGAAGAAAAUGACUGUACCCGAAUAAGAAGGUCCGGCUAACUUCGUGCCAGCAGCCGCGGUAAUACGAAGGGACCUAGCGUAGUUCGGAAUUACUGGGCUUAAAGAGUUCGUAGGUGGUUGAAAAAGUUGGUGGUGAAAUCCCAGAGCUUAACUCUGGAACUGCCAUCAAAACUUUUCAGCUAGAGUUUGAUAGAGGAAAGCAGAAUUUCUAGUGUAGAGGUGAAAUUCGUAGAUAUUAGAAAGAAUACCAAUUGCGAAGGCAGCUUUCUGGAUCAUUACUGACACUGAGGAACGAAAGCAUGGGUAGCGAAGAGGAUUAGAUACCCUCGUAGUCCAUGCCGUAAACGAUGUGUGUUAGACGUUGGAAAUUUAUUUUCAGUGUCGCAGCGAAAGCGAUAAACACACCGCCUGGGGAGUACGACCGCAAGGUUAAAACUCAAAUGAAUUGACGGGGACCCGCACAAGUAGUGGAGCAUGUGGUUUAAUUCGAAGAUACGCGCAGAACCUUACCAACACUUGACAUGUUCGUCGCGACUCUAAGAGAUUAGAGUUUUCGGUUCGGCCGGACGAAACACAGGUGCUGCAUGGCUGUCGUCAGCUCGUGUCGUGAGAUGUUGGGUUAAGUCCCGCAACGAGCGCAACCCUCACUUUUAGUUGCCAUCAUUAAGUUGGGCACUCUGAAAGAACUGCCAGUGAUAAGCUGGAGGAAGGUGGGGAUGACGUCAAGUCCUCAUGGCCCUUACGUGUUGGGCUACACACGUGCUACAAUGGUAUCUACAACAGGAAGCAAAACUGCGAAGUUAAGCAAAUCCUUAAAAGAUACCUCAGUUCGGAUUGCACUCUGCAACUCGAGUGCAUGAAGCUGGAAUUACUAGUAAUCGUGGAUCAGCGUGCCACGGUGAAUGCGUUCCCGGGUCUUGUACACACCGCCCGUCACACCAUGGGAGUUGGUUCUACCUUAAGGCAAGGUUUUAAACCCUUGACCACGGUAUAGUCAGCGACUGGGGUGAAGUCGUAACAAGGUAGCCGUAGGGGAACCUGCGGCUG